CCUACGGGUGGCAGCAGUGGGGGAUAUUGCACAAUGGGGGAAACCCUGAUGCAGCGACGCCGCGUGGGUGAAGAAGCGCCUCGGCGCGUAAAGCCCUGUCAGCAGGGAAGAAAAUGACGGUACCUGAAGAAGAAGCCCCGGCUAACUACGUGCCAGCAGCCGCGGUAAUACGUAGGGGGCAAGCUGUAUCCGGAUUGACUGGGUGUAAAGGGGGCGCAGACGGCGAGGCAAGCCAGGAGUGAAAGCCCGGGGCCCAACCCCGGGACUGCUCUUGGAACUGGGUGGCUAGAGUGCAGGAGGGGAAGGCGGAAUUCCUGGUGUAGCGGUGAAAUGCGUAGAUAUCAGGAGGAACACCGGUGGCGAAGGCGGCCUGCUGGACUGCAACUGACGUUGAGGCCCGAAAGCGUGGGGAGCAAACAGGAUUAGAUACCCCUGUAGUC
rnacentral:rRNA from 1 species